CUUUUCUACAAAAUCCAUUCAUUUUUUUUUUUUUGAAAAUGUCUCCAUUUUUCGUGAAUUUUAUGACUUUGUUUAGUGCAAGAUGCCGAUAUUUUUGGUCUGAACACUAAACGAAGCACAGAGUUUAAAUUGCAAAAAAGAAAUGAAAUUGGACUGUUUUUCCUGUUAGAGCAAUCAAAUCCAUACCUGUACUGAACUAAUCUAGACUCCUAAUCUAUUCUUAUUCUAUACCCUUUAAACGAAUUUCCUUAACUUAAAAAGUAGGGGAUGAUCCGUGAAUUAACCUAACCCUCAACUAAAAAAAAUCCUAUGAAAGCAUAACAGAAAAGUAGUAAAGACUCUUUCCUUUGAUCUAGUUAUACUCUUCGAGUAUAUUGACAAUUCCAAAAAACUGCUCAUACUAUCAUUAUAGUAUAAUGACGAGUGGUUGUAUAUGGCGCUAUCGUCUAGUGAUGCCCCUAUCGUCUAGUGGUUCAGGACAUCUCUCUUUCAAGGAGGCAGCGGGGAUUCGACUUCCCCUGGGGGUAGGGAGUAUUAUAAAAAGAGGUUAAUCAUAGAUUAUCAAAAAGCCUAGAAAAAAUUCUUCCUGGGUCGAUGCCCGAGCGGUUAAUGGGGACGGACUGUAAAUUCGUUGACGAUAUGUCUACGCUGGUUCAAAUCCAGCUCGGCCCAAAAAUCUAGGGCUUCGUGAAUAUGAACUAAAUCCAUUAUUUUGUAUGGAAGAAAAAAAAUGUCUGAUCCAUAGAAAUAAAGGAUAAAGAGAAAUGGGGAAAUUUUUUCUUAAUCCAUAUCUCUCUGAUUCUUUAUAGAGUUUUUCUUAUGGAAAGGCAGAUUAUCGUUUAUUUUUAGGGAUAAAAAAUCGCAACAUACUAGUUAUGCCACUCUCACUAUACCCACAUAUCCUAUGUGGGUAUGUAGUAUAUGAUUCGUCUAUUUCUUAGAGCACAACAGACGAAUCGAAUCUUCUUAUGGUUCUAUUUAAGAAUUAUGGUUCUAUUUAAGAAUAGGUAUGCCAUACACCCCGCAGGGAUUGUAGUUCAAUUGGUCAGAGCACCGCCCUGUCAAGGCGGAAGCUGCGGGUUCGAGCCCCGUCAGUCCCGAACUAGGGUUCAAUGAAUGGACAAAUUCAUCUUUCCUUUUUUUAAUGGAAAUUUUUGAUGAAAAAGGGGGGGCAGGGGGCAACAUCAAAUAUCUAUGGGGUACCCUUACUUCACUUUUUUUAUUUCGCAUUUCUCAGUAAAAAGAGAGCUGUAUAGGAAUUUUUUUUUUCACUACUUCUGGUUGGAAAGGCUAUCAUACGUGGAUUAGUAUAAUUUAGGAUAUUACUCUAUUUUUAUGAUGAUACCGUCCUCAUCUUAACUUACUAUUCGACUCUUAUGGAAUAGAGUACCGGUAUUUUACCGGAAUCCAUACAUAAACCGUAUUCGUUUAUUGUUAGAGAAUGAAUUUCAUCUAAUUAGUUCCUUUUUGGGCACACCCCUUCUAUUUUCUAGUUCCAACUUUGUUUGUGUAUGUUCAAUGAAUAAUUGGAAAGAAUCUACCUCAUUCUCACUCCAUUUGCCGACUCCUUAUAGAUCUGCUCUCAUCUUUAGACCCCAAAAAGUAGAUAUUGAUAGUAACCUAAUAAAAUAAAAACCAAGCAAACGCUCUUUUUCCUAAAUUGAAAUAUUGGAUCCUUUUUAUUUAAAAUCCCCUUUUCUCCAUCUCAUUUCUACUUCUACUGCUUAUUUGGAUGUCUAUGUGACCCACUUUCUAUGGGUCAUAUAAUACAUACAUACAUAAUUGUAUGUAUAACUAUAAGAAAAAGGAAGGGAAAUUGGAUAAGAUAAGAAAGAUUUUGGGUUAUACAUAUAGAAAAGCAAAAGUAGAAAAGAAUGAAAAAUGGAAUAGAGGGAGUUUCGAAUCCAAUCAAAAAAUGGAUUUUGGUCUUAGUAUGGAUAAGGGAUCUUCCUAUGCUAUGUUAUAUUAUUCCACUAUCAACCAUGAAUUGAUUUGAUAGAUCCAAUAUUCAUAAUAUUGAAUUGAUUCAGUAUUAUCAGAAUGCAAGUCCUCCCCUUAAAUUUACAGGAUACCCCUUUUUCCUCUCUAUGGGAUUACAUCCCGAGUUAUUGUGAAAAAAAAAAAUAAAGAGGUUAUGGAAGUCAAUAUUCUCGCAUUUAUUGCUACUGCAUUGUUCAUUCUAGUUCCUACUGCCUUUUUACUUAUUAUUUAUGUAAAAACAGCCAGCCAAAAUGAUUAAUUGGAAUUCCAAUUAAUCAUUGAAGAAAUGAAAAAGGGAUUAAAGAAAAUAAAAAUCCAAGUCUUAAAUGAAAGGAUCCGGUUGGAAUCAUAAAGUGUGGUAGAAAGAACUCCAUAUAGUUUUUUCUACCACACUUUAGAUUCUCUCUAUUAUAUUAUCUUGAAUCUACAUAGAAUCGAUUAGUAGAUUGAAAUAGUAGUCUAAUUCAACUGCUUUUUUCACUGCAUCCACGGAGGGGGAGAAAAAUAAUACGCGAAUACACUAUAGUAAAAGAAAAAAAGUAAAAGGAAAAAACCUACGAAUCUUUCAUGCUUAAAAAUGGCGCGAGAUGCUUCAAUCGAGAUCUUUCAAAAAAAAAAAAGAACAUAAAAAAUUUUCUAAGAAUAAGAAAAUAGUAUAAAUGGAAAAUGUGCGAUAUGUUGUGAAUAGCUUUGUGUAAGAAAGUUUAAUUUUCUUAUGUAUAGAACUUUCUUUUUACUCGCCACUUCUAGUAGAAUAGAAAUUCUGAAUUACUAUAAUUGCCCUUUCUAUUAUACUGCAAUAGAACAUAGUAGAAUAGAACGACUCUUUCUUACUUUCUUAAAAGAGUUUCUUACAAGAGUGAAACAAAACUAAAGAAAGAGAGAAAAAAAGUUUGGCAAACUUUUUAAUGCAAAACGACCAAUUAAAGAAAAGAGUUGAUACUACAAUUCGACUACUCAAUCAAUUGGUAGUAUCCCUAGAGUCCACUCCUCCCCCAUACUACUAGCGAAAGAGAAAAUGUAAAGACUACCAUUAAAGCAGCCCAAGCGAGACUUACUAUAUCCAUGUAAAUUAUGUCUCCUAUUUCUAUGAAGGAAUUCUUCUACUAUUGAUCAAUAAUCAUAGUGGAAUCAAGGGUACAGAGUCAAAAGGCCAUUCUGCCCUAAGACUAUGGAUGAAUCCGUUAAAGGAAUUUACUCCUAACAAAUUCUUAUAUGAUUUCUGGUAGAAUUGGAGAGCAUUAAGUAUAAAUAUGAUACAUAGCCCUUUCCCUAAAAAAGAGUAGGGGGAUGUCCUGAAUAGAAGACGCGGGAAUAGAGAGAUUUUUUCUUCCGUUUGUUACCGUUUUUAUAAACAAAGGGCGUAAGAAUAUACCAUAAAAUUAGGAUAGAUAAAUAUUUAUUGGAUACCUACCUUACCCAUGUUUAUUUUUGACCUAAACCCUACUGCCCCGCUUUCUAUCUUUCUAUGAAAGAGUGAGGAGGCCCUAUCCACAACCCCAAAAUGGAUUUUUGAUCAGCCUAUUCAAUCUAAUUCUCGACAGAAUCAGUAGCUUUUACUUUAGUGUAUGUAGGUAGCAUAAGAUGUACGAAGUGUAUGUAGUAAGAUGUACCAUAAAAAAAAUGUAUGAUAAUUAGGAAGUCUUGAUAUUUCUUCGCGAAGUCCCUUCUUCAAUCUUAGAUUGAAAAAAGACUGCUCCUUAGGAACCUUUGGAUACGAAGAUUUCUGACAUCUUAGUCUCGUAGUUUUAAAUUCCCGAAUCGAAUCAAUUUAAAUUAAUAAAAGAAUAAGGAAACGCUACCUCAUCCCUAUUGGUAGCCGUUUGGGCCACUGCCGACAAAACAAACCCUAGUUUGAGGAUAGAACUAUGGUAUGGAUUCUAAAAAUCCAGUAUCGCCAGACCUAGUUACUCUCGUGCCUCAACUUAUAGAGAUAGAAAUUUGUAGGGUUUGAUCAGUACUAUAAUCCUAAGUAUUUUAUUGAUUAGGCGGCACCCAGAUUUGAACUGGGGGUAAAGGAUUUGCAGUCCCCUGCCUUACCACUUGGCCAUGCCGCCAAAAAAUCCGAUCUAAAAUCGAGAAAAGAACAAGUAUUCAUUUACAUUUUUUUACUAAAACCCUUUUUCUUUCUAUUCUAUUGAGAUGACAAAGGAGAAAAAGUGGAUUUCCAGUCACAGGCUGCAAAAUUCAGAACAAAUUAGAACCAUUAACUAUAAUUUUUAUUUUCUUUUUUUUUGAAUUGCAGUAGUGAACGACUCUUAAAUCGGUAUUCUCCCCCUCCCCUUCCAUUAUUUUUAAUGGCAUAAUAAAAUAGAAUAAAUGUUUCCCUAAUCUGUAUAUAGGGAAAUUCCAGGUCCAAAUAGCAUUAUUAUCUAUGGAUCCCCCUUAUGUACAUAUCCCUAUGGGGAAUCGUGCUUUUAUUUUUCAUUGCAUUAAAUAUCUUGAAUAAAAAAAAGAGGGAAUUUGAUUUGCUCUGAUAUAGAUUAUGGCUUGGCCUUCUUGGACCACCUAAGUGCAAUUACGAUAAAAGAAAGGAUAUGUAGAUAGGUGGAUAACUAGAUUGGCAAGUACUUAAAAAAUAAAGUAAAUACUUUAUUUUAGGAUUCUACAACGAAAUCCUUUAUUUUCCAGCAAUUCUCUACUAUUACGAAACAAAAAAGAACCUUCAAAUUCUUUUUGAAAAUGAAACUAAGCGUGCUAUUCUAAAUCGAACUAAAGUCAAACUUUCUAGUGCUUAUAAAUUAUUAUGGCUUUAUCCCCUUUCAUAGAAAGGAGAUAAAACGAGAAAUCUUUGCUAUCCAAUCUUUUUAGAAUAUCAUAAAGUUUAAGUGGCAGAAUUUUUUUCUAGGACUGUUUUAUCAAUUCAUUUUUAUUCCAUUUCUACCCCUGCUAAAUUCGAAUUUUCGUCGAAAUCGUCUCUAUUCAUAUGUAUGAAAUACAUAUAUGAAAUACAUAUGUGAAGUUCCCUAGAAUUUCAUGUGAUUCAGUAAACAGAAUAUAGAUUCCAUGAUUGCUAGAUUGAUCCGUAGGGAUUGAUGAAGAGUGAGCUGAUAAUGGAAUUUUUCUUCGAUAAAUAGAAUAGGAAACUUAAGAUUAAAAUGCUCCGGAAUGGAAAUGAGGGAAUGUCCACAAUACCCGGAUUUAGUCAGAUCCAAUUCGAGGGAUUUUGUAGAUUCAUUAAUCAGGGCUUGGCAGAAGAACUUGAGAAGUUUCCAACAAUUAAAGAUCCAGAUCACGAAAUUGCAUUUCAAUUAUUUGCGAAAGGAUAUCAAUUGCUAGAACCCUCGAUAAAAGAAAGGGAUGCUGUGUAUGAAUCACUCACCUAUUCUUCCGAAUUAUAUGUAUCCGCGAGAUUAAUUUUUGGUUUCGAUGUGCAAAAGCAAACCAUUUCUAUUGGAAACAUUCCUAUAAUGAAUUCCUUAGGAACCUUUAUAAUAAAUGGAAUAUACCGAAUUGUGAUCAAUCAAAUAUUGUUAAGUCCUGGUAUUUACUACCGCUCGGAAUUAGACCACAAGGGAAUUUCCAUAUACACCGGGACUAUAAUAUCAGAUUGGGGAGGAAGGUCGGAAUUAGCAAUUGAUAAAAAAGAAAGGAUAUGGGCUCGCGUGAGUAGAAAACAAAAGAUAUCUAUUUUAGUUCUAUCAUCAGCUAUGGGUUCAAAUCUAAGAGAAAUUUUAGAUAAUGUUUCCUACCCCGAAAUUUUCUUGUCUUUCCCGAAUGCUAAGGAGAAGAAGAGGAUUGAGUCAAAAGAAAAAGCUAUUUUGGAGUUUUAUCAACAAUUUGCUUGUGUAGGUGGGGACCUGGUAUUUUCGGAGUCCUUAUGCGAGGAAUUACAAAAGAAAUUUUUUCAACAAAAAUGUGAAUUAGGAAGAGUUGGUCGACGAAAUAUGAAUCGGAGACUGAAUCUUGAUAUCCCUCAGAACAAUACAUUCUUGUUACCACGAGAUGUAUUGGCCGCUACGGAUCAUUUGAUUGGAAUGAAAUUUGGAACGGGUAUACUUGACGAUGACGAUAUGAAUCACUUGAAAAAUAAACGUAUUCGUUCGGUUGCGGAUCUGUUACAAGAUCAAUUCGGACUGGCUCUUGGCCGUUUACAACAUGCGGUUCAAAAAACUAUCCGUAGAGUAUUCAUACGUCAAUCGAAACCGACUCCACAAACUUUGGUAACUCCAACUUCAACUUCGAUUUUAUUAAUAACUACUUAUGAGACCUUUUUUGGCACAUAUCCCUUAUCUCAAGUUUUUGAUCAAACCAAUCCAUUGACACAAACGGUUCAUGGGCGAAAAGUGAGUUGUUUGGGUCCUGGAGGAUUGACGGGGAGAACUGCAAGUUUUCGGAGCCGAGAUAUUCAUCCGAGUCACUAUGGGCGUAUUUGUCCAAUUGACACGUCCGAAGGAAUCAAUGUUGGACUUACCGGAUCGUUAGCUAUUCAUGCGAGAAUUGAUCACUGGUGGGGAUCUAUAGAGAGUCCGUUUUAUGAAAUAUCUGAGAAAGCAAAAGAAAAAAAAGAGAGACAGGUGGUUUAUUUAUCACCAAAUAGAGAUGAAUAUUAUAUGAUAGCAGCAGGAAAUUCUUUGUCCUUGAAUCAGGGUAUUCAGGAAGAACAGGUUGUUCCAGCUAGAUACCGUCAAGAAUUCCUGACUAUUGCAUGGGAACAGAUUCAUGUUAGAAGUAUUUUCCCUUUCCAAUAUUUUUCUAUUGGGGGUUCUCUCAUUCCUUUUAUUGAGCAUAAUGAUGCGAAUCGGGCUUUAAUGAGUUCUAAUAUGCAACGCCAAGCAGUUCCACUUUCUCGGUCCGAGAAGUGCAUUGUUGGAACUGGAUUGGAACGCCAAACAGCUCUAGAUUCGAGGGUUUCCGUUAUAGCCGAACGCGAGGGAAAGAUCAUUUCUAGUGAUAGUCAUAAGAUCCUUUUAUCAAGUAGUGGGAAGACUAUAAGUAUUCCUUUAGUUGCCCAUCAGCGCUCUAACAAAAAUACUUGUAUGCACCAAAAACCUCGGGUUACGCGGGGUAAAUCCAUUAAAAAAGGGCAAAUUUUAGCGGAGGGAGCAGCUACAGUUGGUGGGGAACUUGCUUUAGGAAAAAACAUUUUAGUAGCUUAUAUGCCCUGGGAGGGUUACAAUUUUGAAGACGCAGUACUAAUUAGCGAACGUUUGGUAUAUGAGGAUAUUUAUACUUCUUUUCACAUCCGAAAAUAUGAAAUUCAGACGGAUACGACAAGCCAAGGCUCCGCUGAAAAAAUCACUAAAGAAAUACCACAUCUAGAAGAACAUUUACUCCGCAAUUUGGACAGAAAUGGAGUUGUGAAGUUGGGAUCCUGGGUGGAAACUGGCGAUAUUUUAGUAGGUAAAUUAACGCCUCAGAUAGCGAGCGAAUCGUCGUAUAUCGCGGAAGCUGGAUUGUUACGGGCUAUUUUUGGUCUUGAGGUAUCCACUUCAAAAGAAACUUCUCUCAAACUACCUAUAGGUGGAAGAGGGCGCGUUAUCGAUGUGAAAUGGAUCCAGAGGGACCCCCUUGACAUAAUGGUUCGUGUAUAUAUUUUACAGAAACGUGAAAUCAAAGUUGGGGAUAAAGUAGCCGGAAGACACGGGAAUAAGGGGAUCAUUUCAAAAAUUUUGCCUAGGCAAGAUAUGCCCUAUUUGCAAGAUGGAACACCUGUUGAUAUGGUCUUCAAUCCCUUAGGAGUACCCUCACGAAUGAAUGUGGGACAAAUAUUUGAAAGUUCACUCGGAUUAGCAGGGGAUCUGCUAAAGAAACAUUAUAGAAUAGCACCCUUUGAUGAGAGAUAUGAGCAAGAGGCUUCAAGAAAACUUGUGUUUUCGGAAUUAUAUGAAGCCAGUAAACAAACAAAAAAUCCAUGGGUAUUUGAACCCGAGUACCCGGGAAAAAGCAGAAUAUUUGAUGGAAGAACAGGAGAUCCCUUCGAACAGCCUGUUCUAAUAGGGAAGUCCUAUAUCUUAAAAUUAAUUCAUCAAGUUGAUGAGAAAAUUCAUGGACGUUCUACUGGGCCCUACUCACUUGUUACCCAACAACCCGUUAGAGGAAGAGCCAAGCAAGGGGGACAACGAGUAGGAGAAAUGGAAGUUUGGGCUUUAGAAGGAUUUGGUGUUGCUCAUAUUUUACAAGAGAUACUUACUUAUAAAUCUGAUCAUCUUAUAGCUCGCCAAGAAAUACUUAAUGCUACGAUCUGGGGAAAAAGAGUGCCUAAUCACGAGGAUCCUCCAGAAUCUUUUCGAGUGCUCGUUCGAGAACUACGAUCUUUGGCUCUAGAACUGAACAAUUUCCUUGUAUCUGAGAAGAACUUCCAGGUUAAUAGGGAGGAUGUUUGAUCGGAAUAAAUAUAAAUUCUUUUCUUAUUUCUAUUUUAUGAUUGACCAAUAUAAACAUAAACAACUUCAAAUUGGACUCGUUUCCCCUCAACAAAUAAGGGCUUGGGCUAAAAAAAUCCUACCUAAUGGGGAAGUCGUUGGCGAAGUCACAAGGCCCUCCACUUUUCAUUAUAAAACCGAUAAACCAGAAAAAGAUGGAUUGUUUUGCGAAAGAAUCUUUGGACCCAUAAAAAGCGGAAUUUGUGCUUGUGGAAAUUCUCGAGCGAGCGUAGCUGAAAACGAAGACGAAAGAUUUUGUCAAAAAUGUGGGGUAGAAUUUGUUGAUUCUCGGAUACGAAGAUAUCAAAUGGGCUACAUAAAACUGGCAUGUCCAGUGACUCAUGUGUGGUAUUUGAAAGGUCUUCCUAGUUAUAUCGCGAAUCUUUUAGAUAAACCCCUUAAGAAAUUGGAGGGCCUAGUAUAUGGCGAUUUCUCUUUUGCUAGGCCCAGCGCUAAAAAACCUACUUUCUUACGAUUACGGGGUUUAUUCGAAGAUGAAAUUUCAUCCUGUAACCACAGUAUUUCUCCCUUUUUUUCUACCCCAGGCUUUGCAACAUUUCGAAAUCGGGAAAUUGCGACAGGAGCAGGUGCUAUUAGAGAACAAUUAGCAGAUUUAGAUUUGCGAAUUAUUAUAGAGAAUUCCUUGGUUGAAUGGAAAGAAUUAGAAGACGAGGGGUAUAGUGGAGAUGAAUGGGAAGAUAGAAAAAGACGAAUAAGAAAAGUUUUUUUGAUUAGACGCAUGCAAUUGGCGAAACAUUUUAUUCAAACAAAUGUAGAACCAGAAUGGAUGGUUUUGUGCUUAUUACCGGUUCUUCCUCCCGAAUUGAGACCCAUUGUUUAUAGGUCUGGGGAUAAAGUAGUGACUUCGGAUAUUAAUGAACUUUAUAAGAGAGUUAUCCGUCGGAACAACAACCUUGCCUAUCUAUUAAAAAGAAGUGAAUUAGCACCAGCAGAUUUAGUAAUGUGUCAGGAAAAAUUGGUACAAGAAGCCGUGGAUACACUUCUUGAUAGUGGGUCCCGCGGGCAACCGACAAGGGAUGGUCACAAUAAAGUAUACAAAUCACUUUCAGAUGUAAUUGAGGGUAAAGAGGGGAGGUUUCGCGAGACUCUGCUUGGGAAACGGGUCGAUUACUCGGGGCGUUCUGUCAUUGUUGUGGGUCCUUCGCUUUCAUUACAUCAAUGUGGAUUACCUCUAGAGAUAGCAAUAAAGCUUUUUCAGCUAUUUGUAAUUCGCGAUUUAAUCACGAAACGUGCUACUUCUAAUGUCAGGAUUGCUAAAAGGAAAAUUUGGGAAAAGGAACCCAUUGUAUGGGAAAUACUUCAAGAAGUUAUGCGGGGACAUCCUGUACUGUUGAACAGAGCACCUACCCUGCAUAGAUUAGGCAUACAGGCCUUCCAACCCACUUUAGUAGAGGGGCGUACUAUUUGCUUACAUCCAUUAGUGUGUAAGGGUUUCAAUGCGGACUUUGAUGGGGAUCAAAUGGCUGUUCAUCUACCUUUAUCCUUGGAAGCUCAGGCGGAAGCCCGUUUACUCAUGUUUUCUCAUAUGAAUCUCCUGUCUCCCGCUAUUGGAGAUCCUAUUUGCGUGCCAACCCAAGACAUGCUUAUCGGACUUUAUGUAUUAACGAUUGGAAACCGUCGAGGUAUUUGUGCAAAUAGAUAUAAUAGUUGCGGAAACUCUCCAAAUAAAAAAGUAAACUACAAUAAUAACAAUUAUUAUAAGUAUACGAAAGAUAAAGAACCCCAUUUUUCUAGUUCCUAUGAUGCACUGGGAGCUUAUAGACAGAAACGAAUCGGUUUAAACAGUCCCUUGUGGCUCCGAUGGAAACUAGAUCAACGCGUCGUUGGGUCAAGAGAAGUUCCGAUUGAAGUUCAAUAUGAAUCUUUUGGGACUUAUCAUGAGAUUUAUGCCCACUAUCUGGUAGUGGGAAAUAGAAAAAAGGAAAUCCGUUCUAUAUACAUUCGAACCACUCUUGGUCAUAUUUCUUUUUAUAGAGAAAUAGAGGAAGCCAUACAAGGAUUUAGUCGGGCCUAUUCAUACACUAUCUAAACAAGGAAGUUAGAUUCGGCGAUGCCCCUUUCGGGGGGCAUUCCGAUUUCGCUAGUACCAUCUUUUUUGCCGCGCGAAUCCAGAUUGAGAUUGAGGAAAGGAAGUAAAUGAAGUUUUCGAAUCACUGACUCAGCAAUUGUCGAAUCCUACUCAGCCAAAAAAGGGGGUACUUAUGUAUGGCGGAACGGGCCAACUUGGUCUUUCAUAAUAAAGAGAUAGACGGAACUGCUAUGAAACGACUUAUUAGCAGAUUAAUAGAUCAUUUCGGAAUGGGAUAUACAUCCCAUAUACUGGAUCAAAUAAAGACUCUGGGCUUCCAUCAAGCCACUACUACAUCGAUUUCUUUAGGAAUCGAGGAUCUUUUAACAAUUCCCUCUAAAGGAUGGUUAGUCCAAGACGCGGAACAACAGAGUUUUCUUUUGGAGAAACACUAUUAUUAUGGGGCUGUACACGCGGUAGAAAAAUUACGCCAAUCCGUUGAGAUAUGGUAUGCUACAAGUGAAUAUUUGAAACAAGAAAUGAAUUCUAAUUUUCGAAUAACGGAUCCUUCUAAUCCAGUCUAUCUAAUGUCUUUUUCAGGAGCCAGAGGAAAUGCAUCUCAGGUACACCAAUUAGUAGGUAUGAGAGGGUUAAUGGCGGAUCCUCAAGGACAAAUGAUUGAUUUACCUAUUCAAAGCAAUUUACGCGAGGGACUUUCUUUGACAGAAUAUAUAAUUUCCUGCUACGGAGCCCGAAAGGGGGUUGUAGAUACUGCUGUACGAACAGCGGAUGCUGGCUAUCUUACACGUAGACUUGUUGAAGUAGUUCAACAUAUUAUUGUGCGUAGAAGAGAUUGUGGUACUAUCCGAGGUAUUUCUGUGAGUCCUCAAAAUGGGAUGACGGAAAAACUUUUUGUCCAAACACUAAUUGGUCGUGUAUUAGCAGACGAUAUAUAUAUUGGUUCACGAUGCAUUGCUGCUCGAAAUCAAGAUAUUGGAAUUGGAUUAGUUAAUCGAUUCAUAACUGCCUUUCGAGCACAACCGUUUCGAGCACAACCAAUAUAUAUUAGAACCCCCUUUACUUGCCGGAGCACAUCUUGGAUCUGUCAAUUAUGUUAUGGGCGGAGUCCCACUCAUGGGGAUCUGGUCGAAUUGGGGGAAGCUGUAGGUAUUAUUGCGGGUCAAUCAAUUGGGGAGCCAGGGACUCAACUAACAUUAAGAACUUUUCAUACUGGUGGAGUAUUCACAGGGGGUACUGCCGACCUUGUACGAUCCCCCUCGAAUGGAAAAAUCCAAUUCAAUGAGGAUUUGGUUCACCCCACACGUACCCGUCAUGGACAACCUGCUUUUCUAUGCUAUAUAGACUUGCAUGUAACUAUUCAGAGUCAGGAUAUUCUACAUAGUGUGAAUAUUCCGUUAAAAAGCUUGAUUCUAGUGCAAAAUGAUCAAUAUGUAGAAUCCGAACAAGUAAUUGCGGAGAUUCGUGCCGGAACGUCCACUUUGCAUUUUAAAGAAAAGAUACAAAAGCAUAUUUAUUCCGAAUCAGACGGGGAAAUGCACUGGAGUACUGAUGUUUACCAUGCGCCCGAAUAUCAAUAUGGUAAUCUUCGUCGAUUACCAAAAACAAGCCAUUUAUGGAUAUUGUCAGUAAGUAUGUGCAGAUCCAGUAUAGCAUCUUUUUCGCUCCACAAGGAUCAAGAUCAAAUGAAUACUUAUUCUUUUUCUGUUCAUGGAAGAUAUAUCUUUGACCUAGCAAUGGCUAAUGAUCAAGUAAGCCAUAGACUGUUGGAUACUUUUGGUAAAAAAGAUAGGGAAAUUCUUGAUUAUUUAACGCCAGAUCGAAUCGUGUCCAACGGUCAUUGUAAUUUUGUCUAUCCUUCUAUUCUUCAAGAUAACUCGGAUUUGUUGGCGAAAAAGCGAAGAAAUAGGUUCGUCGUUCCAUUACAAUAUCAUCAAGAACAAGAGAAAGAGUUAAUAUCCUGUUUGGGUAUUUCAAUUGAAAUACCCUUUAUGGGUGUUUUACGUAGAAAUACUAUUUUUGCUUAUUUUGACGAUCCACGAUACAGAAAAGAUAAAAGGGGUUCAGGAAUUGUUAAAUUUAGAUAUAGGACCCUAGAGGAAGAGUAUAGGACUCGAGAGGAAGAGUAUAGGACUCGAGAGGAAGAGUAUAGGACUCGAGAGGAAGAGUAUAGGACUCGAGAGGAAGACUCAGAGGACGAAUAUGAGAGCCCAGAGAACGAAUAUAGGACCCGAGAGGGAGAGGGUAAAUAUGAAAUCCUAAAAGACAAAUAUAGGACUCUAGAGGACGAAUAUGAAACCCUAGAAGAUGAAUAUGGGAUCCUAGAGGACGAAUAUGGGCCUCUAGAGAAAGACUCAGAGGAAGAAUACGGGAGCCCAGAGAACGAAUAUAAGACCCGAGAGGGAGAGGGCAAAUAUGAAAUCCUAGAAGACAAAUAUAGGACUCUAGAGGACGACUCAGAAGAAGAAUAUGGGAGCUCUGAAGAUGGCUCAGAGAAGGAAUAUGGGACUUUAGAAGAAGACUCAGAGGAAGACUCAGAAGACGAAUAUGGGAGCCCGGAGGAAGAUUCCAUCUUAAAAAAAGAGAGUUUUAUUGAGCAUCGAGGAACAAAAGAAUUUAGUCUAAAAUACCAAAAAGAAGUAGAUCAGUUUUUUUUCAUUCUUCAAGAACUGCAUAUCUUGCCGAGAUCCUCAUCCCUAAAGGUACUUGACAAUAGUAUUAUUGGAGUCGAUACACAACUCACAAAAAAUACAAGAAGUCGACUAGGUGGAUUGGUCCGAGUGAAGAGAAAAAAAAGCCAUACAGAACUCAAAAUCUUUUCCGGAGAUAUUCAUUUUCCUGAAGAGGCGGAUAAGAUAUUAGGUGGCAGUUUGAUACCACCAGAAAGAGAAAAAAAAGAUUCUAAGGAAUCAAAAAAAAAGAAAAAUUGGGUUUAUGUUCAACGGAAAAAAAUUCUCAAAAGCAAGGAAAAAUAUUUUGUUUCGGUUCGACCUGCAGUCGCAUAUCAAAUGGACGAAGGGAGAAAUUUAGCAACACUUUUCCCGCGGAAUCUCCUGCAAGAAGAGGAUAAUCUCCAACUUCGACUUGUGAAUUUUAUUUCUCAUGAAAAUAGCAAAUUAACUCAAAGAAUUUAUCACACGAAUAGUCAAUUCGUUCGAACUUGCUUAGUAGUGAAUUGGGAACAAGAAGAAAAAGAGGGGGCUCGUGCUUCUCUUGUUGAGGUAAGAACAAAUGAUCUGAUUCGCGAUUUCCUAAGAAUUGAGUUAGUCAAGUCUACUACUUCGUAUACACGAAGAAGGUAUGAUAGGACAAGUGUAGGACUGAUUCCCAAUAAUAGGUUAGAUCGCAACAAUACCAAUUCCUUUUAUUCCAAGGCGAAGAUUCAAUCACUUAGCCAACAUAAAGAAGCUAUUGGCACCUUGUUGAAUCGAAAUAAAGAAUAUCCAUCUUUGAUGAUUUUGUCGGCAUCCAACUGUUCUCGAAUUGGUUUAUUCAAGAAUUCAAAAUAUCCCAAUGCGGUAAAAGAAUCGAAUCCUAGAAUUCCUAUUCGAGAUAUUUUUGGGCUCUUAGGCGCUAUUGUACCUAGUAUAUCAAAUUUUUCUUCAUCUUACUAUUUAUUAACACAUAAUCAGAUCUUGUUAAAAAAAUACUUGUUCCUUGAAAAUUUGAAACAAACCUUCCAAGUACUUCAAGGACUUAAAUACUCUUUAAUAGACGAAAAUAAAAGGAUUUCGACUUUCGACAGUAACAUCAUGUUGGAGCCAUUCCAUUUGAAUUGGCACUUUCUCCAUCAUGACUCGUGGGAAGAGACAUCGGCAAUAAUUCACCUUGGACAAUUUAUUUGUGAAAAUGUAUGUCUAUUUAAAUCGCACAUAAAAAAAUCAGGUCAAAUUUUCAUUGUUAAUAUGGACUCCUUUGUUCUAAGAGCAGCUAAGCCUUAUUUGGCCACUAUAGGAGCAACUGUUCAUGGUCAGUAUGGAAAAAUCCUUUACAAAGGAGAUAGGUUAGUUACGUUUAUAUAUGAAAAAUCGAGAUCUAGUGAUAUAACGCAAGGUCUUCCAAAAGUAGAACAAAUCUUCGAAGCGCGUUCAAUUGAUUCACUAUCGCCGAAUCUCGAAAGGAGAAUUGAGGAUUGGAAUGAACGUAUACCAAGAAUUCUUGGGGUUCCCUGGGGAUUCUUGAUUGGAGCUGAGCUAACCGUAGCCCAAAGUCGUAUCUCUUUGGUUAAUAAGAUACAAAAGGUUUAUCGAUCCCAAGGGGUACAGAUCCAUAAUAGACAUAUAGAGAUUAUUAUACGCCAAGUAACAUCAAAAGUAAGGGUUUCCGAAGAUGGAAUGUCUAAUGUUUUUUUACCUGGGGAAUUAAUAGGACUAUUGCGAGCGGAACGAGCAGGGCGGGCUUUAGAUGAAUCGAUCUAUUAUCGGGCAAUCUUAUUGGGAAUAACAAGGGCUUCCCUGAAUACCCAAAGUUUCAUAUCUGAAGCAAGUUUUCAAGAAACUGCUCGAGUUUUAGCAAAAGCUGCCCUACGAGGUCGUAUUGAUUGGUUGAAAGGCCUGAAAGAAAACGUAGUUCUGGGGGGGAUUAUACCUGUUGGUACCGGAUUCCAAAAAUUUGUGCAUCGUUCCCCACAAGACAAGAACCUUUAUUUCGAAAUUCAAAAAAAAAAUCUAUUCGCGUCGGAAAUGAGAGAUAUUUUGUUUCUCCAUACAGAAUUAGUUUCUUCUGAUUCUGACGUAACAAACAAUUUCUAUGAAACAUCAGAAGCCCCGUUUACCCCUAUUUAUAUGAUUUAAGUAUACAUAAAGCUAUUUUUUUUUACUUUAAUUUAAACUAUACUUUGCCCUUAGAAUGCUAACAGGUCUGAUUUUAGAUUUUGUAUUUUAAUAAGUAAAAGAAAGUCAGUUAAUUCAUUAAGGCUAUGUUUAUACCGUGUAUCAAUGGUCAAUUCUGAGUAGAAGGUUCCAUCGGAACAAUUAUUAUUUAUUUCAAGCUAUUUCGGCUCUUUCUUAAUCUUCAAAAAGAAAUUAAUUCCGUAAUGGUAAGACGAAAAAAAGAAAAAAUAAAAAGGAAGUGUGGAAAAAAUGACAAGAAGAUAUUGGAACAUCAAUUUGAAAGAGAUGAUAGAAGCGGGAGUUCAUUUUGGUCAUGGUAUUAAGAAAUGGAAUCCUAAAAUGGCCCCUUACAUCUCGGCAAAGCGUAAAGGUACUCAUAUUACAAAUCUCGCUAGAACAGCUCGUUUUUUAUCAGAAGCUUGUGAUUUAGUUUUUGAUGCAGCAAGUCAGGGAAAAAGCUUCUUAAUUGUUGGUACCAAAAAAAGAGCAGCGGAUUUAGUAGCAUCAGCUGCAAUAAGAUCUCGUUGUCAUUAUGUGAAUAAAAAGUGGUUCAGUGGUAUGUUAACGAAUUGGUCGAUUACCAAAACUAGACUUUCUCAAUUUAGAGACUUAAGAGCAGAAGAAAAAAUGGGAAAAUUCCAUCAUCUCCCAAAAAGAGAUGCGGCAAUCUUAAAGAGAAAAUUAUCUACCUUGCAAAGAUAUCUCGGCGGGAUCAAAUAUAUGACGAGGUUGCCUGACAUUGUGAUCGUCCUUGAUCAGCAAAAAGAGUAUAUAGCUCUUCGGGAAUGUGCCAUUUUGGGGAUUCCUACUAUUUCUUUAGUCGAUACAAAUUGUGACCCAGAUCUCGCGAAUAUAUCGAUUCCUGCCAACGAUGACACUAUGACUUCAAUUCGAUUAAUUCUUAACAAAUUAGUAUUUGCAAUUUCUGAGGGCCGUUCUCUCUAUAUAAGAAAUCGUUGAUUAAGUAGAAUAGUGAAUUCUUAAGCAACUGCGUAGAUUUAUAGGAUCAGUUACUAUUCUUUUUUGUUUUGCAUAGAUAAAAGAAAGGGAAUAUUGAUAUAUAUUAGGGGGUAUUGAUAUAUAUUAUGAUCUGAUGUGAUUUCUUGGUAUCCUAAAUAUAAGAUUAAUACUUCAAGUUGCUGAGUUGAGAAAGAGAUGCUUGAAUCAAAAGAAUUCCUUUUUUGAAGUUCAAUUUUUAUCAGAGGACAAUAUGAAUAUUACACCAUGUUCCAUUAAAACACUCAAGGGGUUAUAUGAUAUAUCGGGUGUAGAAGUAGGCCAACACUUCUAUUGGCAAAUAGGAGGUUUUCAAAUUCAUGCCCAAGUACUCAUCACUUCUUGGGUCGUAAUUACUAUUUUGCUAGGUUCAGUUAUCAUAGCUGUUCGGAAUCCACAAACUAUCCCGACCGACGGUCAGAAUUUCUUCGAAUAUGUCCUUGAGUUUAUUCGAGACUUGAGCAAAACUCAGAUUGGAGAAGAAUAUGGUCCCUGGGUUCCCUUUAUUGGAACUAUGUUCCUUUUUAUUUUUGUUUCGAAUUGGUCAGGUGCUCUUUUACCUUGGAAAAUUAUAGAGUUACCUCAUGGAGAAUUAGCAGCGCCCACGAAUGAUAUAAAUACUACUGUUGCUUUAGCUUUACUAACAUCAGCGGCAUAUUUUUAUGCGGGUCUUAGCAAAAAAGGAUUGAGUUAUUUCGAGAAAUAUAUUAAACCAACCCCAAUCCUUUUACCAAUUAACAUCCUAGAAGAUUUCACAAAACCAUUAUCGCUUAGUUUUCGACUUUUCGGAAAUAUAUUGGCGGAUGAAUUAGUCGUUGUUGUUCUUGUUUCUUUAGUCCCCUUAGUAGUCCCUAUACCGGUCAUGUUUCUUGGAUUAUUUACAAGCGGUAUUCAAGCUCUUAUUUUUGCAACGUUAGCCGCAGCCUAUAUAGGUGAAUCCAUGGAAGGUCAUCAUUGAAUUGACUAGUUUUCGAAAUAGUCUUUUUUUUUAGCUUAGCCCAAUUCAUGCAUGAUUCCAGAUAAUCCUCUUAGUUGGAAAACUAAAUCGUUCGAAAUCCGUAUGAAUAUACAACCUAGAGUUGUAGGGGAGAGAAUAGACUAUAUUACGGAAGAGGUAAAGUAUAUAUGCAUUCAGGGGGGCAGAUUAGAUCUAUAUCCUUAAUGCCUACAAAACAGUUAUCUUUUGUGCGGAUUUCUAAGGAAUGAUUUUAGAAUCGGAUUCAAUAGAAAAUGAGAAAAUACGCAAACAAAAUAGAAGAAACAAAUGUAUAUGGUUUUUUUUAUUCCUAAGUUAGAUUCAUUAUCUAAUCCGAUAUGUAGAAUUCCCUUCUAUAUAGAACUGGAUUCCAUAUCUAAUUCUAAUUCUAUGCAGCAUAUUGUUAUCAAUUGUAUAUCUUGAUUUGAUUCCUAUUGGAUUUGAAUUAGUUCGAUUUCAAUAGGGGUUCUUCCUAUAUUUCGUCUUUUAUUAUGUUAGAUGAAGGGGAAAAAAUGGGAACUCAAGGAUAUCAAAGAGUAAAAAAAAAGGAUGGAAUGAAAGAGUGAUUGGUUGAAAAGAAAGAGAAAUAGAAUAAUGAGAAUCAUAUGGAUUUACACAAACCUCUAAUGAUUAGAAACUAAAAACGAGAUCUCGAAGUAAUUCGGACGAUUUCAAUUAUCAUUUAUUUGUACUUAUUAGUUACUUUUACCCAAUAGAGCUUAGAAGUUAGAAGUAAUAAUUUCUUGGUUGAUUGUAUCCUUAACCAUUUCUUUUUUUUUUUGACACGAGGAACUCACCAUGAAUCCACUAAUUGCUGCUGCUUCCGUUAUUGCUGCUGGAUUGGCCGUAGGGCUUGCUUCUAUUGGGCCCGGAGUUGGUCAAGGUACUGCUGCAGGACAAGCUGUAGAAGGUAUUGCGAGACAGCCAGAAGCAGAAGGUAAAAUACGAGGUACUUUAUUGCUUAGUCUAGCUUUUAUGGAAGCUUUAACAAUUUAUGGACUGGUUGUGGCACUAGCGCUUUUAUUUGCGAACCCUUUUGUUUAAUCCUAAAAAAGAAAAAGAGUCCUUUAGAUUAGAUACUUUUUUCUUUUUUUUCGUACAUUGGGAUUUGCUUCUGUAAUUCCAAGUAUAUCAAUACUUUACUCCUAUUUAUUAUAUUAUUCCGGGAAUUUUGUAUUUAUCGGGACAGACAAUACCCCAGGAACCCCAGGAAGGGCUGAUUUGAGCAUGAUCAAUUUAGAGGAUACGCUCGUCCUCUUCCUUCCCAUUCUUAGUUUAGGACAGUGGAAACUCUUUUUCUUUUAUUUUAGGAAUUUUGGGAACAUUUCAACAAAGGAGAUUUUUUACAGGUCAAACAAGACCUAAGACUUAAUCUAAAAGAAAUUAUUAGAUUAAAUCUAUUUGCAUUAAAAAAAGAUUGCAUUAAAAAAACCGAUCAAAAAAGGGCGAGCGAAGUAAGUGAUCGAAAAACUUUCUUCUUUGUUCGUCCUAUCUAUAAGAGGAGAGCAUAUGAAAAAUGUAACCUAUUCUUUCGUUUUUUUAGCUCACAGGCCAUUCGCUGGGAGUUUCGGGCUUAAUACCGAUAUUUUAGCAACAAAUCUAAUAAAUCUAACUGUAGUGGUUGGUGUAUUGAUUUUUUUUGGAAAGGGAGUGUGUGCGAGUUGUCUAUUUCAAGAAUAGAUUGGAUCUAUCCGGCUGCACUUUAGAAUAUUUUUUAGUAUUUUUUUGGAUAAAUAAGAAAAGGUGCACGAUCUCGACGAAUUACUUCUGAAUAACUUCAGAAAUCAUAUGGAAGAACCAUAGCAUUUCGCGACUCAUUGGUAAAUUUACUUUGAUUCUCUAUAGACCAAUAAUGUGAGACCAUUAACACGGUUAAAGCUAAACUGCUUGAAGUCCGGGCAAAAGGGGGUACUCUUUCUACAACUACAUUAGUCUCGAAAUGCUUUAAACGGGAAAUAGCUAGUGUGGAAUUUAUCUGAUAUAGAACACUCAUAUCGAUAAAAUAGUUUGAACUAUUUACUAGAAGGGCAUCCAGCCCUUUUUCCAAUGCCGAAUCGACGACCUAUGUAUAAAAGAGAAAUUUUUUGGAUUUGAAGAAAAAAUAAAAGGAAUUGUAUCAAUUUAGAUUUUCCAUUUAUUUAGUUUGUUUUUCUUAAUGAAAUUGAAAUUAUUAACUAACAGAGCAAACACAAAUAAAGAAACAACUUUGCUGACCAUGAUAGAUUUUUAUCUAGUUGGAAGAAUCCUCUUAUCUUAAUAUUCAUCUAGUCUUAUAUAAGUUUGGGUAUAUAGAAAUACAAACAGAAAAGAGAGGAUAGGCUCAUUACAUAAAAAAAAGAUAUGGAAAUAGCCAUAAUACAUAGCAAAAGAGAAAAAAAGGAGCGGGAGAGCCAAAUGAAUCGAAAGAUUCAUGUUUGGUUCGGGAAGAGAUCAUAAAAAUUGUAAACUUAAUAGCAAGAUAAUCUACUUUCAUUAAAAGAUUUAUUAGAUAAUCGAAAACAGAGGAUCUUAAGUACUAUUCGAAAUUCGGAAGAAUUGCGUAGAGGGACCCUUGAACAACUCGAAAAAGCUCGGAUUCGAUUACAGAAAGUCGAACUAGAAGCAGAUGAGUAUCGAAUGAAUGGAUACUCUGAAAUAGAACGAGAAAAAGCAAAUUUGAUUAAUGCUACUUCUAUUAGUUUGGAACAAUUAGAAAAGUCUAAAAACGAAACCCUUUAUUUUGAAAAACAAAGGGCGAUGAAUCAGGUUCGACAACGGGUUUUCCAACAAGCCGUACAAGGAGCUCUAGGAACUCUGAAUAGUUGUUUGAAUACCGAGUUACAUUUCCGUACGAUUCGUGCUAAUAUUGGCAUUCUCGGGGCCAUAGAAUGGAAGAGAUAAUGAAAUUUAUUAGGUUUUGAACUUCUACUUUCGUUUAGAAUUUAGGCAUUAUUUUUCCCCUUGCUUCCGAAAAAAAAAAGAUUCAAGAAACACUAAUGGCAACCCUUCGAGUCGACGAAAUUAAUAAAAUUCUCCGCGAACGUAUUGAACAAUAUAAUAGGAAAGUAGGGAUUGAGAAUAUCGGUCGCGUAGUUCAAGUGGGGGAUGGGAUUGCUCGUAUUAUAGGUCUUGGUGAAAUAAUGUCAGGUGAAUUAGUCGAAUUUGCGGAAGGGACGAGAGGUAUUGCUCUGAAUUUGGAAUCCAAAAAUGUUGGAAUUGUAUUAAUGGGCGAUGGGUUGAUGAUACAAGAGGGAAGUUUUGUAAAAGCAACAGGAAGAAUUGCUCAGAUACCCGUGAGCGAGGCUUACUUGGGUCGUGUUAUAAAUGCUCUCGCUAAACCUAUUGAUGGGAGAGGCGAAAUUGUCGCUUCGGAAUCUCGCUUAAUUGAAUCUCCUGCUCCGGGUAUAAUUUCUAGGCGUUCCGUAUAUGAACCCCUUCAAACAGGGCUUAUUGCUAUCGAUUCGAUGAUCCCCAUAGGGCGCGGUCAGCGAGAGUUAAUUAUUGGGGACAGACAGACUGGCAAAACAGCAGUAGCCACAGAUACAAUUCUCAAUCAAAAAGGGCAAGAUGUAAUAUGUGUUUAUGUAGCUAUCGGUCAAAGAGCAUCCUCCGUGGCUCAAGUAGUAACUACUUUCCACGAAGAGGGGGCCAUGGAAUACACUAUUGUAGUAGCUGAAAUGGCGGAUUCACCCGCUACAUUACAAUAUCUCGCUCCUUAUACGGGAGCAGCCCUGGCUGAGUAUUUUAUGUACCGCGAACGGCAUACUUUAAUAAUUUAUGAUGAUCUCUCCAAACAGGCACAAGCUUAUCGCCAAAUGUCCCUUCUAUUAAGAAGACCCCCCGGCCGCGAAGCUUAUCCAGGGGAUGUUUUUUAUUUGCAUUCACGCCUUUUAGAAAGAGCCGCUAAAUUAAAUUCUCUUUUAGGCGAAGGGAGUAUGACCGCUUUACCAAUAGUGGAGACUCAAUCUGGAGACGUUUCCGCCUAUAUUCCUACUAAUGUAAUCUCAAUUACAGAUGGACAAAUAUUCUUAUCCGCGGAUCUAUUCAAUGCCGGAAUUCGACCUGCUAUUAAUGUGGGUAUUUCUGUUUCCAGAGUAGGAUCCGCAGCUCAAAUUAAAGCCAUGAAACAAGUAGCUGGCAAAUCAAAAUUGGAAUUAGCUCAAUUCGCGGAGUUACAAGCCUUUGCACAAUUCGCCUCUGCUCUCGAUAAAACAAGUCAGAAUCAAUUGGCAAGGGGUCGACGAUUACGGGAAUUGCUUAAACAAUCCCAAUCAAACCCUCUCCCAGUGGAAGAGCAAGUAGCUACCAUUUAUACCGGAACGAGAGGAUAUCUUGAUUCGUUAGAAAUUGAACAGGUAAAGAAAUUUCUGGAUGAGUUACGUAAACACCUAAAAGAUACUAAACCUCAAUUCCAAGAAAUUAUAUCUUCUAGCAAGACAUUCACCGAGCAAGCAGAAACCCUUUUGAAGGAAGCUAUUCAGGAACAGCUUGAACGGUUUUCCCUUCAGGAACAAACAUAAAUAUAGCAUGUCUACUCUUAUUAGUAGAACUCGUGUUAGUAGAAGAGGAAUCAUUGAGAAAGAUUUUUCAUUUGAAUCAUGCAAAAAAGUUUUCUUAGUAUUUAGUAUAGUUAUUUAAAGAAUAGAUAGAAAAAAGAUUGCGUCCAAUAGGAUUUGAACCUAUACCAAAGGUUUAGAAGACCUCUGUCCUAUCCAUUAGACAAUGGACGCUUUUCUUUCGUAUUUUUUUCUUUCUUUUACUUUUUUCUCGGAACAAGAGAAAAAAUAAAAAACUGUUAGACCGAAACUCUUUUAGGAAAGAAAAAAAAUCCAUAUACCAUAUACAAAUGGAUGAUACAUAUAUCAUAAAGAAGGAAUAUGGAGCGGGUAGUGAGUAUCGAACCCGUAACCCCAAGGUUAUGAGCUUUGUGAGCUACCAAACUGCUCUACCUUCUUAAACUAAAGAGCGGGGAACUUGUGGAUAAAAGGGGAUUGGAUACGCCCCUCUACCAUAUCUAUAUAAAUAGAAUAGUCCAUUUAUACAGAAUGGUAAAGAGGGCUCUUCUACGAUCAUCAAUUCGAGAAAACCAUACAAAUAUGAAAGGGUAUUUUAUCCUUACCAACUGGAUCUUGUUGCACCCGGUAACAAACAUGCAUAAACCAUUUCUCGAAGUAUGUGUCCGGAUAGCCCAAAGUCUCGAUAGUUAGCUCUAGGUCUUCCGGUUAAAAAACAACGUCGAUGAAGGCGUGUAGGUGCACUAUUACGUGGUAGGGAUUGCAAUUUUUCUUGCAUUUUUUUUUUUUCGCUCAAACUCAAAGGGGAAACUUUGCUUCUUAUCUUUUUUUUUGAGGAUCCACGAAUCAAAUGAUAUUUUUUUUCUAAUUUCUGCCGCUUCUUCUCCCUCUGAAUCAAACUUUUUUUUGCCAUAAUGUGCCGUUCCUAUUAUUACCAAGUAUAUGGUUCUAAUCCUAGAUGGAAAAAUAAAUAGAAAAAAAAUCUAAAAAGGCGGAUCCUCCCUCUCCAUCAAGAGUAAUGAACUAGGUUCUGAUACAGUACAAAAAAACAAAAAAAAAAUAACUAAAUUAACCAAACUUGCCUGAUGUUGAGGCAAUCAAGAAAGCUGCAUAAGUGAAUAUAUAACCCACGGAAAAGUGGGCUAAUCCAACCAAUCUUGCUUGCACAAUGGAAAGAGCCACGGGCUUAUCUCUCCAGCGAAUUAAAUUAGCCAAAGGUGUGCGUUCAUGGGCCCAUGCUAAAGUCUCAAUUAAUUCCUGCCAAUAUCCACGCCAGGAAAUUAAGAACAUAAAUCCAGUAGCCCAAACAAGAUGUCCAAAUAAGAACAUCCAAGCCCAUACUGAUAAACUAUUCAUCCCAAAAGGAUUAUAUCCAUUGAUAAGUUGUGAAGAGUUUAACCAUAGGUAAUCUCUUAACCAUCCCAUCAAAUAAGUGGAGGAUUCAUUAAAUUGUGAAACGUUGCCCUGCCAUAAUGUGAUGUGUUUCCAAUGCCAAUAAAAAGUAACCCAUCCAAUGGUAUUUAACAUCCAGAAAACUGCCAAAUAAAACGCGUCCCAAGCAGAAAUAUCACAAGUACCACCGCGCCCUGGGCCGUCGCAAGGAAAACUAUAUCCGAAAUCCUUUUUAUCCGGCAUUAAUUUGGAACCGCGUGCAUCUAAAGCACCCUUUACUAAAAUCAAUGUAGUUGUAUGCAAACCUAGAGCAAUAGCAUGAUGAACCAAGAAAUCUCCGGGUCCUAUUGUUAAGAAAAGCGAAUUACUAUUCUCAUUAACAGCAUUCAACCAUCCGGGCAACCAUAUGCUUCGACCUGCAUUGAAAGCGGGGCCAUUCGUUGAAGAUAAGAGUAUAUCGAACCCAUAUGUCGUCUUACCAUGAGCAGAUUGUAUCCAUUGGGCAAAUAUAGGUUCGAUCAAGAUUUGCUUUUCUGGAGUACCAAAAGCAAGCAUGACGUCGUUAUGAACAUAAAGGCCUAAGGUAUGGAAUCCUAGGAAGAGGCUAGCCCAACUUAAAUGAGAUAUGAUAGCUUCUUUAUGGUCUAACAUUCUUGCCAAUACAUUAUCUUCAUUCUGUUCCGGAUUGUAAUCCCUAAUGAAAAAAAUAGCUCCAUGAGCAAAAGCCCCUGUCAUGAUGAACCCUGCAAUGUAUUGGUGAUGAGUAUAUAAAGCAGCUUGAGUAGUAAAGUCUUGUGCUAUGAAUGCAUAAGCAGGUAAAGAGUACAUAUGUUGAGCUACUAAGGAAGUAAUAACCCCUAAGGAAGCUAGAGCAAGACCUAAUUGAAAAUGAAUCGAAUUAUUAAUUGUAUCAUAAAGGCCUUUAUGCCCACGUCCUAAUCGACCCCCCGGAGGAGUAUGUGCUUCUAAAAGAUCUUUGAUACUGUGCCCAAUUCCGAAGUUAGUUCGAUACAUAUGACCGGCAAUGAGAAAAAUAAAUGCAAUAGCUAAAUGAUGAUGAGCAAUAUCGGUCAGCCACAAACUUUGUGUUUGUGGAUGGAAUCCCCCAAGAAGGGUCAGAAUGGCAGUUCCCGCUCCUUGAGUGGUACCAAAUAAAUGAUUACUCGAAUCAGGAUUUUGGGCAUAAAGAUUCCACUGACCCGUCAGAAGGGGACCCAACCCCUGGGGAUAGGGUAAUACAUCUAAGAAAUUAUUCCAUCGAACGUACUCCCCCCUGGAUGCGGGAAUAGCAACAUGAACUAAAUGUCCUGUCCAAGCCAAAGAACUUACCCCGAAAAGUCCUGACAAAUGAUGAUUGAGACGAGAUUCCGCAUUUUUGAACCACGAAAGGCUUGGCUUCCAUUUGGGUUGUAGAUGUAACCAACCCCCUAUUAAGGAUAGGGUAGAAAGAAAUAAUAGAAAAAGAGCUCCAGUAUAAAGAUCUUCAUUGGUGCGCAAUCCAAUUGUAUACCACCACUGAUAAACCCCAGAAUAAGCAAUAUUCACUGGACCGGCAGCACCUCCUCGAGUAAAGGCUUCCACCGCGGGUUGCCCAAAAUGAGGAUCCCAAAUGGCAUGAGCAAUAGGUCUUACGUGUAAAGGAUCCUGUAUCCAUGAUUCAAAAUUUCCUUGCCAAGCUACAUGAAACAGAUUUCCAGACGUCCAUAGAAAGAUUAUUGCUAACUGCCCAAAGUGAGAAGCAAAAAUGUUCUGAUAAAGACGUUCCUCAGUAAUAUCAUCAUGACUUUCGAAAUCAUGUGCGGUAGCAAUACCAAACCAAAUACGACGAGUAGUGGGGUCCUGAGCUAAGCCUUGGCUAAACCUGGGAAAUCUUAAUUCCAUAAUGCCUUUCAAAUCCUCCUAGCCACUAUCCUACUGCAAUAAUUCUCGCUAAGAAGAAUGCCCAUGUUGUGGCAAUUCCACCCAGAAGGUAAUGGGUUACUCCUACAGCACGUCCUUGUAUAAUGCUCAAGGCUCUAGGCUGAGUAGCAGGAGCAACUUUUAAUUUGUUGUGAGCCCAAACGAUAGAUUCAAUGAGUUCUUGCCAAUAACCACGGCCGCUGAAUAAAAACAUUAAACUGAAAGCCCAGACAAAAUGAGCGCCUAAGAAAAAAAGACCAUAUGCGGAUAAUGAAGAACCAUAAGACUGAAUUACUUGGGAUGCCUGUGCCCACAAGAAAUCUCGAAGCCAACCAUUAAUCGUAAUGGAACUCUGUGCAAAGUUUCCCCCUGUGAUAUGAGUUACUAUCCCUUGAUCACUUAUAGUACCCCAAACAUCCGACUGCAUUUUCCAACUGAAAUGGAAAAUAACUACCGAAAUGGAAUUAUACAUCCAGAAUAGACCUAAGAAAACAUGAUCCCAGGCGGAUACUUGACAUGUUCCCCCUCGCCCAGGCCCGUCGCAAGGGAAGCGAAAGCCAAGAUUUGCUUUAUCAGGUAUCAGACGGGAACUGCGAGCAAAUAAAACACCUUUCAAAAGUAUUAAUACAGUCACAUGGAUAGUAAAUGCGUGAAUGUGAUGGACUAAAAAAUCUGCGGUUCCUAAUGGAAUAGGUAACAAAGCCACUUUGCCGCCUACAGCUACUAACUCGCUGCCUCCCCACGUUAAGCUGGUACUUGUUGUUGCACCAGGAGCUGUUACGCCAGGCGCGCCAGCAUGGAUAUUUUGUAUCCAUUGAGCAAAGAUGGGUUGUAAUUGUAUGGCGGUAUCCGAAAACAUAUCUUGGGGACGGCCUAAAGCACUCAUGGUAUCAUUAUGAAUGUACAAGCCAAAACUGUGAAAACCCAGAAAUAUACAUACCCAGUUAAGGUGGGAUAUGAUUGCAUCGCGGUGUCUAAGGACGCGAUCUAAUAGAUCGUUGUAUCGAGUAGUUGGAUCAUAGUCUCUUACCAUAAAAAUGGCUGCAUGUGCAGCAGCACCGACUAUUAGAAAUCCGCCAAUCCACAUGUGGUGUGUGAACAAGGAAAGUUGUGUACCAUAGUCGGUAGCUAGGUAUGGAUAGGGGGGCAUAGAGUACAUAUGAUGAGCUACAACAAUAGUUGUAGAGCCUAGCAUAGCUAGGUUAAGAGAUAAUUGAGCAUGCCAUGACGUUGUUAGGAUUUCAUAGAGACCCUUAUGGCCUUGUCCUGUAAAUGGGCCCUUAUGAGCCUCCAAAAUAUCUUUAAGUCCAUGACCAAUACCCCAGUUGGUCCUAUACAUAUGACCAGCGAUCAGGAAAAGAAUAGCAAUAGCUAAAUGAUGGUGUGCAAUAUCGCUCAACCAUAGACCACCGGUUAUUGGAUCUAGUCCUCCGCGAAAACUAAGAAAUUCUGCAUAUUUGGACCAAUUCAAGGUGAAAAAGGGAGUUGCUCCUUCGGCAAAACUAGGAUAAAGUUGAGCCAAAAGGUCGCGAUUCAAGAUAAAUUCAUGAGGAAGUGGUAUCUCUUUAGGAUCAACCCCAGCGUCGAGAAAUUGGUUAAUCGGUAAAGAUACAUGGAUUUGGUGUCCCGCCCAAGAAAGAGACCCAAGUCCUAAUAACCCCGCUAAGUGGUGAUUCAACAUGGAUUCUACAUCUUGGAACCAGGCCAAUUUGGGAGCAGCUUUGUGAUAAUGGAACCAACCAGCAAAAAGCAUUAACGAUGCAAAAAUCAAUGCACCGAUUGCGGUACAAUAGAGUUGUAAUUCACUAGUUAUUCCGGAUGCUCGCCAAAUCUGAAAAAACCCAGAGGUUAUUUGGAUUCCUCGGAAACCCCCGCCUACAUCACCAUUCAAAAUUUCUUGCCCUACUAUUGGCCAAACUACCUGAGCACUGGGGCCAAUGUGAGUAGGAUCGCUUAGCCAUGCUUCAUAAUUGGAAAAACGGGCACCGUGGAAGUACAUCCCACUCAACCAAAGAAAGAUAAUGGAGAGUUGACCGAAAUGAGCACUAAAGACUUUUCGGGAGAUCUCCUCCAAAUCACCGGUAUGACUAUCGAAAUCGUGAGCAUCAGCAUGUAGGUUCCAGAUCCAAGUGGUAGUAUCGGGACCCUUAGCUAUUGUUCUUGAGAAAUGCCCGGGUCUGGCCCAUUCCUCAAAAGAUGUUUUUACAGGAUCCCUAUCCACAACAAUUUUAACUUCUGGUUCCGGCGAACGAAUAAUCAUUAAGUCCUCCUCUUUCCGGACAAGACAUACAAAGAGACCCGCCAACUGUCUUUUUAUUGAAUCUUUGAAAGAUAGAUAUUAUGAUUAGUCCUUUUCUUUACUAUCUACCGUCCUUCUAUUUUUUUUAGUUAUUCACUGGAGCAAUUAUAUAUUGAAGUCAAUCCGAGGCAAGUGUUCGGAUCUAUUAUGACAUAAGGAUUAGGUGCCUAACGGACAUGGGUUCUUCUGGAAAAUUAUUUCCCGACGUAACAAAAAAAUCUUUUUUUUUACGUUUUAAUUUAAGAAGCUAGUGUAUUUUUUUUUGAGGGUAUAAGCCCCUAUCCACAUCUACUUUCCUUGAGUGAGCAUAAUAUAGAUUUUUUUAUGCGAUUCCAAAUUCCAAGAUAACUCAUUAGAAUUAUUAAUAAGACCGUCCUGAUAGAUUAGGUAGGAAUAUUUAGAUUGCCACCUUUUAUGUGCUUUAUUACUUCUGUUCCAGAGCCUAUCCCUAUUAUUUAUCCUUAUGAAAUAUGAUAUAAAAUCGAAGGUAGAAGAAAGGGAUAUAAUGAAAUUCUUGAUUUGAUCUUCUUACCUAAAUUAUUUGAUUAAUGGAUCAACAACCAAACCACCCAUUUUAUGGAAAUGGAGAGUUGUUUUAUUCAAAUUCAAAGCGCUUCGUAAUCUUCAACCAGUUCUGUGCUUCAAUAUAAUUUCCCGGAGUAAGCGCUAUAGCUUGUUUCCAAUACUCAGCAGCUUGAUCAAACCAAGCUUCCGCAAUUUCCGAAUCGCCCUGUAGAAUGGCCUGUUCUCCUCGGUCGGAAUAGGCAGUUCCUUCCCCUAGAACCGUACUUGAGAGUUUCCUACCUCAUACGGCUCAGAAAUUGCUAUCUUAAUUUCCCCUAUAUUAACUGAAUUCGAUUUCUCAAAAAUCAAUCCAAUUUCUUCUUGGGUUAAGCAGAAGAAGUUAAUUACCUAAGUUUCAAACCCUAAUUUUGAUCAAUAAUCAGUUUGAUCUUUUCUCCCACCUUCAGAAGAAUGAAGCAUAGAUAGACCUAUAUCCUUCGUUCCAAUUUUCUGAAAGGUAACUAUCUCGGUUUCGUUUCUUUCAUAUAUGAAAUUUCUAUAGAAUCCUCGAAAAAGACUUUUUCCCAUAACAAAGAAAAAAGAACUUACUAUCUUUGGGAUCUGAUACUACACCGCUGCUUAAUCCCUUAGUGGAUCGGCUUUAUUACAUAAGCGGAUUCCUAAAUUUUGUCCCAUAUUGUGGUAUAAUGAAGCAGUUUUUUUUUUAGUUGUAUCGACCCAGUCGCUCACUAAUUGAUCUUUACGGUGUUUUCUCUAUCAAUUUCAGCUUUAUCCAUAGAAUAGUAGUAUAGGCUCUACUUUCUUCCUAUUUUGAUUCUCGUGAAGUGUCUUUCCUUCCUACAGCUGAUAGGGUAAAAUCGUUGUUUUGACGAUCCCUAUGUAGAAAGCCCUUUUUUCUAGUAUUUACUAGAAAAUUUUCUCCUUUUUUUUUUCUUCUUUCUAUAGUGGAGAUAGUCGCACGUAAUGACAGAUCACGGCCAUAUUAUUAAAAGCUUGCGGUAAGAAGGGGUUUCGUUCUAGCGCCCGGAAAUAAUAUUCCAAAGCCUUUGUAUGCUCUCCAUUGCUUGUGUGUAUAAGGCCUAUGUUAUAUAGUAUAUAACUUCGAUCAUAGGGAUCAAUUUCUAGUCGCGUAGCUUCAUAAUAAUUCUGCAAAGCUUCCGCAUAAUUUCCUUCGGAUUGAGCCAACAUCCGUUACGGUCGUUCAUUCUAUUCAAUUCAAAAAAUCUCCGUUCCAAAACCGUACAUGAGGUUUUCAUCUCAUACGGCUUCUCCCUUCUGUACAUAGUACUAAGCGAAAAAUCUAUAGAAUAAAAAUAGAAUUAGUUCCAUCUCAUUAUGGACCGAAGGGGGCUGGUAUUUUUCCAAGAAAUCUCUAGCCAACCUUCCCCCAAGAGGUUUUUCUUAACACCAAUGAAUUCUAUUAAUGCUAGAGGAAAAUGAUAGCUCCAAGAAUUUCUUUGUUCUCAACGCCUCCUAUUUAGAGGAAUUAGCCACUUCAACGACCUUUGAUGGUUAUAAGGGUAUCCAAAGUACAAACCUGAUGGUUGUUUGUUAUCCUAACCAUUCUUCCCAACCCUGAUACCAAUCAGGAAAGGGCUAAUUUCUAACAAAGUUUUUCUCUUGUUGAUUCCUAUUUCGAGGUGUAGUGCUUUUCUCCCCUAUGCUGCCUAUUGGUACUAGUAGAGUCGGAUUGGCCUGUAAUACAGAGCCUAUCCUGUAGGUGUAACCUUUCGCUCAAUACUCAAAUCUACAAUUGAAGCAUCUGAGGCCACAUCAAUCGAGGAUACACGACAGAAGGAAUUGUUAGUUCACCUCACCUUCCCCAAGCGUGGGUUUCCUUUACUAAUUUUGUUCUCUCUAUGCGAACCCCCUCUCUUUCUCGUAAGAAUGAGAUGUAGGUAGGGCUAAAAAAAAAAAGAAAAAAAAACGAGUCAAAUCGCACCAUCUCUAUAAUAAGUAAAUGCCCUUUUUUCCCCGGAGGUUGUCGGAAUUAUUUGCAAUAAAAUAUUGGCUACAAUCGAGGAGGUCUUAUCAAUGAAAUUUCCAUUUAUACGGGAUCUAGGCAUAAUUCCCAACCCAUUCUAUAUAGAAUUCUUUUCAUUCUAUCACAAAAUAACAUAAAAACAAAACAUUCGAUUCUUAUAAAUCGAUCCAUAUGCUCUAAAUGGAUAAGAGAGGUAUGGAUUUUCCGCUCAGCUCAAAUUGUCUUCUUUUCCUUCUGUUUGGACAAGAAGAGAUAUGAAAUAUUUGACUAAGAUUAGAUUGUAUGGCGUAACGUACCUUAUGCAAAUAGAAUUCUAGGGUUCCUUUAUUUUCUUAUGGAAUAAGAAGAAUUCUUCCAUUCUCUUUUUAUUUUGGUUUUCCCCAAAGAAAAACUUUUCGAGGGAGCGGAAUUCCUAGUAAAAAAAAAAUACUGGAUCCUUCCACUUAGAUGAAAAGGAAUUUUUCCCAUAGAGCCAUGGAAUCCCCCAGCCGUUGUGGCUGUACCUGUACUGCAGGAAUACGAAAACUCGCUAUUCACUCAGUUUAUUUUCCAUAAUAAGAUUAUGGAGGAGAGAUGGCCGAGCGGUUCAAGGCGUAGCAUUGGAACUGCUAUGUAGACUUUUGUUUACCGAGGGUUCGAAUCCCUCUCUUUCCGUUUCUCUUAAUUCAUCAAUGUUAGCAAUCACAAUGUAUCAAAUUAAAUAACAAUUUAUUCCAGCAAUAAUAUCUUUAUUUAAUAGAAAUUCUCUAUAGCAAAUUACUGUGGUAUGGAAAAUCGAGGAAAUAACAAAAAAGAAAAAAGGAACCUAGGGUUAAUCUAUUUCUGCUAGGUGAACGGGAAAAUACGAAUUAAGAGCCUUAGGUCGAUUUAGUUCGGGGAAAGGGGAAGGGGAAAAAAAUUCUAUGAACCUUUCCUUUUUUCGUUAAGUUCAAGUCUGGCGAGAGUAAUAUUCUACAACUAACAACUCAUUUACUUUGAGACCGACCCACUUCCUAUCUAGAAUUUUUUUUACUAGUCCUUUAUAUUGCAAUGUGUCAACCGUCAAAUGCUUUGGCAAUUUGCCCGGAUCGGAUGAAGCAAUAGAAUUUUGAACCAGACGUUUUGAUCGUUGGUUAUCCUUCGUAGUAAUAAUAUCUCGGGGUUUGCAACGAAAACUUGGUAUAUCAACUAUACGACCAUUAACUAAAAUAUGUCUAUGGUUAACUAAUUGCCGGGCCCCAGGAAUGGUUGAAGCCAUACCCAAUCGAAAAAGGAUAUUAUCCAAACGCAUUUCAAGUAAUUGUAGUAAAACCUGACCUGUGGAUCUUUUUGCUUUUCCAGCGAUAUGUACAUAUCUAAGUAAUUGGCGUUCUGUCAGACCAUAAUGAAAACGCAAUUUCUGUUUUUCUUGAAGACGAAUACGAUAUUGCUCUUUUUUCCCAGAAUGGAAUUUCUUUUUCUGAUUACUUCCGGAUUUAGGCGUUUUUCUAGUGAGUCCUGGUAAAGCUCCCAGACGGCGUAUUUUUUUUAAACGAGGCCCUCGAUAACGGGACAUGAAGACUCCUUUUUUAUUUUAUUGAAAUUGCAUUUUACACAAUAAAUUUCAUUCUAUUUACAUUACAGAAUACAUCGAAAUUCAAACUGAAUUAAACUAAAGGAUAAACAGAGUAAAAUCUACGAAAAGUACCACAAAAAAUCGAAGUACCACAAAAAAUCGAAUUUCAUCAACAUCCGUAUUUUUUGUAUAUAUAUUAUUUAUUUUUAUGCUUUGUAUCUAGCAAAAUUGUAAGGUAGAACGAUAUAAUAGACCCUCGAUUCCCCAUUUAAUUUAGAGAAAAAGAGAAAUUCUUGUUCAUGGAACAUCGAUAGAGAAAAAAGCCGACUAUCGGAUUUGAACCGAUGACCCUCGCAUUACAAAUGCGAUGCUCUAACCUCUGAGCUAAGUGGGCUUACAUAACAGAAAUAGUGUAACAAAUAGAAAUAUAUAUAGGGAAUCCUUAAAAUGUCAGAUCUUAAUUAUAAAUCUUAGUUAUUAACUAGUUCGAAAUUGGAAGUUCUACUUAGAAUUAGUAAAGAAUUAGUAAAAAAAACACUAGAAUUUCAUAAAGAUAAAGUUAGCUUGAUAUGCUUAACUAAAUGAUAUUCUUAAAUAGGAUUCUAGAAUUUAUUGAACUUUCUUUUUAUUUCUCUAAUUCGCAACAAUUUGAUAUGGCUCGGACGAAUAAUCUAAUGCAUAUAAAAGAAGAAUAUAUAUGAAUAAUAUAAUAAAGAGAAAAUGCCAAGAGAUUGGGAUUUUCAUUCGAUCAUUAUAUACAUUUUUUUGAGAUGUUUUUUUUUUUUUUAUUUGUUAAUAAUUUAAGGAUAAAUAGUUCACUAAGGAGAAGAUAGAAUCAUAGCAAAUGAAAUUUCUAAUUCAGAUUAGAAAAAAAAAAGAAUGAAUAUCAAGCGUUAUAGUAUGAUUUUGAAUACUCUAAAAAAGGAAGGAGGGAGGCGGGAGAGAUAAAAACUUUUGGAUAUAUUCAUUCCAAUUGAAUUGCAAAUAUAUCAACGGUAGAAUCAAUUCAAUUCUGAAUUGCAAUAAGCGAGCGGGGUCUCUCAAAUAGAGAUGAGCUGCUAGACUACGUCGAAUAAUGAAUUUAAUGAUUCAAAAAAACUAAGAGAUGGAUGAAAUUAUACAAGGAAUCCUGGUUUCAAAGAAAAGGAAAAUGGGGAUAUGGCGAAAUCGGUAGACGCUACGGACUUGAUUGUAUUGAGCCUUGGUAUGGAAACCUGCUAAGUGAUAACUUCCAAAUUCAGAGAAACCCUGGAAUGAAAAAUGGGCAAUCCUGAGCCAAAUCCCUUUUUUGAAAAAACAAGUGGUUCUCAAACUAGAACCCAAAGGAAAAGGAUAGGUGCAGAGACUCAAUGGAAGCUGUUCUAACGAAUCGAAGUAAUUACGUUGUGUUGGUAGUGGAACUCCCUCGAAAUACUAGAAAGAAGGGCUUUAUACAUUUAAUACACACGUAUAGAUACUAACAUAGCAAACGAUUAAUCACAGAACCCCUAUCAUAAUAUAGGUUCUUUAUUUUAGAUUUUUUUUUAGAAUGAAAUUAGGAAUGAUUAUGAAAUAGAAAAUUCUGAAUUUUUUUAGAAUUAUUGUGAAUCCAUUCCAAUCGAAUAUUGAGUAAUCAAAUCCUUCAAUUCAUUGUUUUGAGAUCAAAAGUGGAUUAAUCGAACGAGGAUAAAGAGAGAGUCCCAUUCUACAUGUCAAUACUGACAACAAUGAAAUUUCUAGUAAAAGGAAAAUCCGUCGACUUUAUAAGUCGUGAGGGUUCAAGUCCCUCUAUCCCCACCCAAACCCUCUUUUAUUCCCUAACCAUAGUAGUUAUCCUUUUUUUUUCUUUUAUCAAUGGGUUUAAGAUUCAUUAGCUUUCUCAUUCUACUCUUUCUUUCACAAAGGAGUGCGACGAGAAUUCAAUGAAUCUUAUGCUAUUCAUUAAAUAGAUGAUUUCUUUUUUAUUUGAUAGGACUACCUACCUCCCCCAUUCCAAAUUUGGAAUGGAAUACUUUAUUGAUUUUUUAGUCCCUUUAAUUGACAUAGAUGCAAAUACUCUACUAGGAUGAUGCACAAGAAAGGGUCAGGAUAGCUCAGUUGGUAGAGCAGAGGACUGAAAAUCCUCGUGUCACCAGUUCAAAUCUGGUUCCUGGCACAGAAAAAAAAAGGAUCUACCGAAUAGAUAUUGAUACAAAUAUCUUUAGAUGGAUUGGGGUACAUAUUCAUUAAUAAUCUAGAUAGUAUAGAGUAAGUAGAUAAAUCUCUAAACACUUCUUUUUAGAAAAGGGUUCAAAUUUCUGGUUCUUUUCUUUAUGGUUUUCUGGUUCUUUUCUUUAUGGUAUAGAAAAAGGGGAGAUUAGGUGCCCUUUUCUUCAUUUUUGCAUUUCUUAUUAAUUUUGUAUGCCGCUAUUCUGAAGAAUUUUUUUUAGUCUUGCUUAUCCUACUUUCCUAGUUGUUCUAAGUAAUCCGCGCGGUACAAAGUUCGUGGUAGGAACUUCUUUAAGUCAUUGUAUUUUUCUGUUCAUACGAAGGAAACGAAUAUGUGAUUUUCCAAAUUGGAAAAUCGAAAUGAAGCCCUUUUUGUUCAGUCUAUCUGUAUCUUUUUGUAUAAUAUAAUAGGAAUUAAUUAGAAUAGAAUAAGUAUUUCGUUUCGUCUAGGAACAGAACCUAAAAAUAUUCUUUGACUUGAAUAAAAUCUGGAGUUGUGUUGUAUAAGUGAACAUGAAUUUAUUAUCAUUCAAUGAGCAUCUUGUAUUUCAUAGAAAUUGGGGGUUAUAUAGUCCUUACGUAAGGGCCAGCCUAUCCAACUUUCAGGCAUUAAGAUACGUUUAAGACGUGGAUGAUUAUCAUAAGAAAUUCCCACCAUAUCAUAAGAUUCGCGUUCUUGAAAAUCGGCACUUCUCCAAACCCAGAAGACAGAUGGGAUUCUAGGAUUAUCUUUUUGGGCAAAGACUUUUAUGCAUACUUCUUCUGGGUUAUCUAUACCAUACUGUAUUCUCGUAAGAUGAUACACGCUAGCUAAAGAUCCACCAGGUGCUACGUCAUAAGCACAUUGGGAACGUAAAUAAUUGUAACCAUAUACAUAUAAAAUGACAGCAAUGGAAUCCCAAUCCCCCGCUUUUAUUUGUAAAGUCUCUAUUCCCCGGUGAUCGAAGCCCAAAGAUCUAUGAACCACCUCAUGUUUGACUAGCCAAUUAGAUAACCAACCCUGCUGCAUUGUCUUAAUCUCUCCCCCUUUGUAUAAAUAUUUCAUAUUUCAAAUGCAAGUUUGAAAGAUUGCACUGCUCUUUCUUUUUCUGCACAAAAGAACCCCUCCUAAUUCACUAAUUUGUAGGAAGAUAUUGGACUUUUGGAUUUGAAAAAAGUUUCAGAAGAUAUAUCUAAAGUAGAUGGUGAUUGAUAGAGCAAUUCUUGUUCGUAAGUUCCAGUGUGAGUACUGCGCCGAACAUAAAGCUUGUGACGGGUAGUAAAAGAUCGAUUUUUCUUUUGACUUUGACAUAGAGUUCGAUCCUCAACUAUUUCUCGCGAUAUCUUCUUACGAAGUUUUGUUAGGGCAUCUAUAACAGCCUCUGGUUUAGGCGGGCAACCCGGCAGGUAGACAUCCACAGGAAUUAACUUAUCAACUCCUCGAACAGUACUAUAGGAAUCCGUACUGAACAUUCCCCCUGUAAUAGUACAGGCUCCCAUAGCAAUGACGUAUUUCGGUUCAGGCAUUUGCUCAUAUAAUCGCACUAAAGAUGGAGCCAUUUUCAUUGUUACCGUACCAGCUGUUAAAAUUAGGUCCGCUUGCCUAGGACUUGAUCUUGGUACCAAUCCAUAACGAUCAAAGUCGAAUCGUGAGCCUAUUAAUGCAGCAAAUUCAAUGAAACAACAACUGGUACCAUAUAGAAGGGGCCAUAAACUGGAGAGUCUUGACCAAUUCGAAAGAUCGUUUGGUGUAGUUGAAAUAACGGAAUUGGAACUUGUUUGGUCGAGUAACGGAAACUCAAUCAAACCCAUAAUUGUCUCAAUGGAAUCUUUUCCUUCUUUUUUUUUGUCUGAAUAUUCAGUUAAGACCAUUCCAAGGCUCCUUUUCGCCAUGCAUAAACUAAACCAACAACUAGGAUAAGCACAAAAAUGAAAGCUUCGAUAAAAACGGAUACACCCAAUACGUCGAAACUCAUUGCCCAAGGAUAGAGAAAGACCGUUUCCACAUCAAAAACAACAAAAACUAGCGCAAACAUGUAAUAGCGUAUUCGGAAUUGUAACCAAGCCCCCCCCAUGGGUUCUAUACCCGAUUCAUAACUAGAAAGCUUCUCUGGUCCUUCACUACUAGGGGCUAAAAGUCCUGAAAUCCAAAAUACCAAAAUAGGAAUAAGGCUUGCUAUUAUUAGAAAUGUCCAAAAAAUAUCAUAUUCGUGAAGCAGAAACAUAAAUGUACUCCUAUUAAUGUGGAAUAGGCAGAACUGAAUUAGUCAAUUCAAGUUGACAUGACAUUAUCAAUUUAUCCAGAACCUCUCUCUUUUCCUCAGUGAAACAAGAAUCUGUUUUGCUCAAACCAAAGGCAAAAAGCAGCUUACUUUAGCCUUUGUUUCUUUUGUAACAUGUCUCUCCUUAAGGAGAUUCAUCCAAUGGAAUCCCCACUCCCUUUUUUUUUUUAUUUAUCAUCUAUUUAGAUAUGAUAGAGACCUAAUUCUUAUACAAAGAAAACUCUUUCGCUUCACUUUGUCUCGCUUUCUCUAAAAUCUCUAGAAAAAAGAAUUGCUCUACCCUUUAUUUAAUGAUAGUCAGAGACUAUUAAAUAAAAAAGAAAAUACUUACUACUAAUUCGAUUAGAACCUAAUUAAAAUGGGAUAACUAAUGUAUGCAUCCUAAUGAAGAGUAAUACUAAAAAAAAAGAACUCUAUUUCAGAAUUAUGAAACAGAAUAUCCAGUUUUAUUAUUUACUCUUUCUUUUUUUUUUUUUCUUUCGAUUUUUUUUAUUUUAUUUAAAGUGGAUCGAUUUAGAUAAUGUAUAUUUAGAUAAUGUAUAUAUAGUAAUAUACUUCAAACAAAAUAGGAAUUCGCAAAAUGGAGAAAAUCGUUGCAGUCAUUAUAGGAAAGUAUAGGGACUUAGAGCAUAUCCUAUUUGAAGGAGGAUGGAAGUCAAAUUAGUUAAGGGAUCUUUUCUUCUAUUUCUAUUGAUUUGAUCAAAAUUCUUUUUUCUUUUCCUGUCUCUAUGAUUUUCCAUGAAUGGAGCCUAUGGUAAUGCUUUUAUCUCUAUUCUAUGGCGCAAUCGAUCGUCGAGUCUAUAAACAAGUACUAAUAAGGAAAUAAGGAAAAAAACUAUACUAAAGUAAACAUAAGAUAUCCAUCCUAAAAUGAAAAAAAGACGUAUAUAUUAGGGCUAUACGGAUUCGAACCGUAGACCUUCUCGGUAAAACAGAUCAAACGGAUUAUUAUCGAAAUGAUUCGAACUGUUUCAAAGACCCAACAUGCAUUUUUAUUUUUCUGCAUUGGGCUCUUUCAUCAACUGAUGUAAAGAUCAGUUAAUCCGCCAUAGUUUUUCUUUAGAGAAAGAUAAUAAGAUGGCUCCCUGUGCUCUGAUUGAUUAUUUUUCUUAUGAUCUAUCUAGGAGCAAUACCAAAGUGUUUCAAAGGAGGAUUACCUUGACUUAGGUCUGCCUCCGGCCUAAAUUAAAUCAACCUAAGUGAAAUGGAGUCUCUAUCGUUCCGCUGCAAGAGUUUACUAUGAGACUUCAUACACCUUAAAGUUCAUAGAACGAAAAGAAGUUUUUUGGAGGCCCUUAUCCUCAUUACGCCUAGCAUUGAGUGGGCUGGAUAUUUACCUUAUCAACUAGCAAAUCAAUAGGGGUUCUAUUUGAUUAAGUACCUGAAUUGGCACCUGAAUCGGACUGAACCGACUGUUUGUCAGGCUACUGUUCUCCUAUUCUUUCGAAUCCAUGAAGUAAGACAUUGAUUUUGCAAUUAAGUUCAAUUAUGUUCAUUGCAUAAUAAGUUCCCUUGAAAAGCAUUGGCGCACGUGUAAGCGAGUUGCUCUACCGAACUGAGCUAUAGCCCUUGUCAGAGAUAUCUUAACAUAUAGAUAAUUUCUUGUCAAGAUGAAUAUUCUCUAAUGCCAGAGGAUAUUCCUCUGAUCCGUUUACUAUAUAACAUAACAUAAAUAUACCAAUAACAGAGGGGUAUUGCUUAUAAAAAGGAUUCGAUCUAUAAUCGAUCGA
rnacentral:lncRNA from 1 species